ACGAACGCUGGCGGCGUGCUUAACACAUGCAAGUCGAACGGGAAGGCCCUGCUUUUGUGGGGUGCUCGAGUGGCGAACGGGUGAGUAACACGUGAGUAACCUGCCCUUGACUUUGGGAUAACUUCAGGAAACUGGGGCUAAUACCGGAUAGGAGCUCCUGCUGCAUGGUGGGGGUUGGAAAGUUUCGGCGGUUGGGGAUGGACUCGCGGCUUAUCAGCUUGUUGGUGGGGUAGUGGCUUACCAAGGCUUUGACGGGUAGCCGGCCUGAGAGGGUGACCGGCCACAUUGGGACUGAGAUACGGCCCAGACUCCUACGGGAGGCAGCAGUGGGGAAUAUUGCACAAUGGGCGGAAGCCUGAUGCAGCAACGCCGCGUGCGGGAUGACGGCCUUCGGGUUGUAAACCGCUUUCGCCUGUGACGAAGCGUGAGUGGCGGUAAUGGGUAAAGAAGCACCGGCUAACUACGUG
rnacentral:rRNA from 1 species